UUCAAGGGAUACGAGGUGGAAUUUUUAGCAUCCCCAGUGUCAAGUGGUUAAUAUGAAAUCUGUUUGUAUCGGUUUGUUUUUAUUUGUACAGCCUGCUUUGGGAGACAUCAAAGGAGAAGCGGAGCUCAGAUUGGGUUGUUGGAAUUGACAUAAGGAUUUGUGGGAAGGCUGAUGUUCAAAUAGGCUCGAAAGAUGGGUGGGUUUUAAACAGACUUUCCAAAGGAGAGGGGGUGCUAGGCAGAGGGACUUGUCUGAGCAAAGGUGUGGAACCAGGAAAGACGUGUUUGUUGACAGACGUUCAGCCAGAGUUGGCGAGCAACGUGGUUUGGAAUGGGUGGAGCUAGAGACAGGGGCCUUGUUAGGAGGCUUUUUGGUGUUGGCUUCUGAGCAAGAAAAAGAGCCUUGAGGAAGCACAGUGUAUUCAGGAAAGGGGAGAAUGCAGGUGGUGGAAGGAAUAAGAGAACGCACAGCCCUUCCCAAGGCUGGCCGCUUGGAAGCACAGCAUUCAUCUUUGUGUGUGAAACCAAUCCCUCUCUCUGCUCUGUGGGUCCCCACAGCAGGACCCCAAAGACUGACUGCAAUGACGUGGAGCUGGCCUGUGUGGGGCAGUCCCCCAGCUGUAGCUCCCUGGCCUUAACACAGUCCUAAUUCUUGGCUUUUUAGCAUGAGCUGUCAUAGGAACUUUUUCUAAUUUGGAUAAACAUUUACAAUAUAAGAGAAUUCCCCCCCACCCCACCCCCCAUAGUACUGGAAUUUUAUAGAUUCUAGGAGCUGUGAGCAAAUAUUAGAGAGAAAACAGUGCAUGUGAGCGCAAGUUCAGAGUUCUUUGAUGUAAAUAUAGAACAGGAAGUUUAACUCCCCAAGGGUGGUUAGAGGUCAGGAGGCUGCCAAGCAGACUUCUUGCUUAUUUUCCAGCGCGUGAGAUUCACUGAUAUGCUCGCUGCAGGAAACAGAGAUAUAAUUAUCUUUGUGCUAGCCCAUCAAAUGAUUUCUGAGUAGAAAUAGAAUGCUAAAAUUCCUCGGGCUGUGAUAAAUCUCGUACAUAACCCCCAUCUCACCAUGGGAAGGAGUUCUUCCUUAGCCCCUAACUUUUUGUGCUUCAGUAAAGAACCUUUUCUUCCAGUCACGCCAUCGUGACGUAUUUUUAAAAUACUUACUCGGUAGUUAAUUUUUCUAAUCAUCACCCAGUAUGGAAAGGGGAUUAGUGUUCCUCAGAUCAUAAGACAAGGACUUUAAAAAGGCAGCCGAUGCCACUUACCCUGAGGGUUUGAUCUUGCUUAUUAGUUGCUCUUAGUUCCAGUGCUCCAAGGAGCAUCAGUUAAAAUACACUCAUAGACAAGUUUUUAAAAAAAAAAAAUUUUUUUUUUGCCUUCUUUUUCCUUCUCUGGCAGCUCGAUAUUUUGUGUUUAUGAAGUUGCAUACAAGACUGGCAUCUUUGCUGGCCUUCCUCCAGCUCCCUCACCUUUGGGGACACUUUGACGGGUUGAGCAGACAUGAGAGUUGACCUCAGAGGCCUGGGGCAGGAGCAGUAGCUAAGAUUCUGGUCCCUACUGCUCCUGGCUGCCUGAUGAGACCGGGCAGGGAUGUCUCAGCCCUCUGCCCUGGUGUUCUCAUCUUUAAAAUAAGAGAAACAGUCCUGCCCCACACAGGGUCGUCAGGAGGAUAGAAAUGAAGGCGUAUGUGUGAACGCAUAUUGAAAACUAUCUCUACCAAGAGCUCUCCUGUAUGAUCCCUCCUCAUCCUAGCCUGAGUUGGGUACUUCACUCAGUAUCUCCUUACCUCAAAGACUUGCCAUUUUUACUUGCUUUUCUCCUCACCAAAUAUUUACAGGUAGUCCCCGACUUACAAUGGGGGGUUCCCUUCUGACAACUCAACUGUAAGUCGGUUCUGACAAAAUCCAAUACCUCUUUUCUUUUCUUUUUUUAGUUUUCAUUAUUAAUACCUUUUGUUAUCAGUAUCAUUAUAAAUCCAAUCUUUAUUUAUCUUUGGCAGUUGGAAACAUUACAUAUAAACUGAAGAGAUAUAUUUUAAUACAUCGCAUAUAUUAAAAAAUACGCAAAUCGUAAAAAUUUACUCCACCGAUGAGUUGGACGACCAACGUCUCACUACUUCCCGAAUCUGCCUGUCAAAGCCAUCAGCAUUCGGGUUCAUGUUUUCAAGCAACAGAAUCCCCUGAUUUAGUUUAGAAAACUGAAUCUAUACAGCAGCGUUUCAGACAGUUAAUCAUUAAAAUUGAACAUCUGAGAAUGAUAACAUCAGCAAAUUACACACUACAACAUUGUAUGCAGUACAUAUUACUAACGGUAAGAUGU